rnacentral:lncRNA from 1 species
UAUGUUCAUGCACUUGUUUUGUCUGCAUUUCCAUCCCUGCUUUCCUUUAUUCCAACAGUAGGAGACAGCUCACCCUUGCAAUAUUUCUAAUGUGACUUACACCCAAAGGAGCAGGCUCCAUAUGAUGGAGAAUUCCAGCCUUCAUAGGCAGUUCAGCAACUGAACUACACAUUCAAAUACAGGUUUCAUAUUACUUCCUCUUAUUAAUCAACUGCCCAAGAAAUCCCAGCAUUUGAAGAUGAGCAGCCAUAUUCCUUACAGGUUGUCCUAGGGAAAGAGAGAAGUCCAUGAGGGGAUACUCUAUAGCCCUGUGCAUGGAGUCUGCUGAGGAGACCAGCAUCACAAACCCAAAGAACCCAAUGAGAAACGGAGAGCUUGGAGGGAAGCUCUGGUCACUUCAUGCUGCUGCCAGCAGGUGUGGUAAGCCACUUGGACCUGAAGCAAGCACAAGGACAUCUGUUCCAGCCUCCUCACACCAGAAGCCACAAAAGUUCCUGCAGGAUGCUAAAACAACCUUGGAGACUUCUGUAGCAAAGACUCAGAUCCUUAGGGACUUCGCUUGUACCACACCCAAAAAGUAGGAGGACCCUUCUACGUAUUUGGCCCCUACAGUGCAGGGACAGACAUCAUGAAGCAGAGCAUGAGACAACAGGAGAAGAGCAGAACACCACCAUUAUACCAAUACCACGUUGUAGGCCCUGGACUGAGAUUCAGGGCACCAAAUACAGACAUAUCUGCCUGCAUCCUCUGUCCACUGAGGUGGUCCCACUCUUGGUGUCAGGAUUAGGCCAGGCUACCUCACACAAAGCCUGCUCUUCCAUAGGAACACACCAAGUCACACCACAAGGAACAGCCCCCUUCAUGCACCUUACAUCUUUAGGAGAGUUGCUAAAAUACAGAAAGUGGGUCUUCUAAUUUGGAGAAAUCAAUGCAACUAGAGCUAAAAGCCCUUUGAAUAGCCAGUGAAGAACAAAGUCAAAGUCCAGCAGUCCUUCCAGCAUCAUAAUGUACAGUCCUGCUUGCAAUUCUUCAUCAGAUAAGAAUGUUUUGUGUACAUUGGGCCAAUUUAUUCUGGAGCAAAAAGCUGUAGCCACACACAGCCCACUCCACUCCUGUGGGAGUCACUAAAAAAAUCUUCUGUUUUUCCAUUCCCCUGACCAAAAUAUUUCUAAACAUUCUGGAGGAUCUUGCAGGUAACCAUAUGACUACAUUUAGGAAGCAAGCAGACAAGGGCAGGCAGUCACCAGGGAAUGCACAUUCAUUCCUUCUGUAUCUUGCUGAAGUUUUUAUGAAAGAGAGCUUAACCUUUAUUUGGCUUGCAAACCCCUAACCAAUUAACUGCUAUUUAUACAAGAUAAUUCCUUAUAAUUGUAAUAGGAAGAAAUUCUCCCUAUCCAAAUCCUUAGAGGGCAUAAGAAAUACAAGAACAAUAAAGAGUAUCUAGCCCUGAAUAUUUGACCUCUU